UAACACAUGCAAGUCGAGGGGUACGACUCCGUCUUCGGAUGGAGGUCGACGACCGGCGCACGGGUGAGUAACGCGUAUGCAACCUACCUUUUACAGGAGGAUAGCCCAGAGAAAUUUGGAUUAAUACUCCAUAGUACUAAUGAAUCACCUGGUUUAUUAGUUAAAACUCCGGUGGUAAAAGAUGGGCAUGCGUGUCAUUAGCUAGUUGGUAAGGUAACGGCUUACCAAGGCGAAGAUGACUAGGGGUUCCGAGAGGAAGAUCCCCCACACUGGUACUGAGACACGGACCAGACUCCUACGGGAGGCAGCAGUGAGGAAUAUUGGUCAAUGGGUGAGAGCCUGAACCAGCCAUGUCGCGUGAAGGAAGACUGCCCUAUGGGUUGUAAACUUCUUUUCUGCAGGAAGAAAUCACUCUACGUGUAGGGUGUUGCCGGUACUGCAGGAAUAAGCAUCGGCUAACUCCGUGCCAGCAGCCGCGGUAAUACGGAGGAUGCAAGCGUUAUCCGGAUUUAUUGGGUUUAAAGGGUGCGUAGGCGGGCUUGUAAGUCAGUGGUGAAAUGCUGUGGCUUAACCAUAGAAUUGCCAUUGAAACUGCAAGUCUUGAGUACAGUUGAGGUGGGCGGAAUGAGUAAUGUAGCGGUGAAAUGCAUAGAUAUUACUCAGAACUCCGAUUGCGUAGGCAGCUUGCUAAACUGUAACUGACGCUGAUGCACGAAAGCGUGGGGAGCGAACAGGAUUAGAUACCCUGGUAGUCCACGCUGUAAACGAUGAGCACUGGUUGUUGGCAAUACACCGUCAGCGACUGAGCGAAAGUAUUAAGUGCUCCACCUGGGGAGUACGUCG
rnacentral:rRNA from 1 species